CUCAUCCAUGUCAUAGCUUUGUA
rnacentral:siRNA from 1 species